CUGCUUGCUAUGUAUCUUCCAGCAUGUUCUUUGUCUCUCUGUCAGGAUGUUCUGUUGCAGCACAGUGUACUUCACCUUGUCCUACAUCAUUUUACUGCUCUACCUUGUUGAUGAGGUACAAGGUGGAGCCUACAUCAUUUUACUGCUC